CACGUAGGGCGCAAGCGUUGUCCGGAAUUAUUGGGCGUAAAGAGCUCGUAGGCGGUCUGUUGCGUCCGCUGUGAAAACUCGAGGCUCAACCUCGAGACGUCGAUGGAAACCAUCUGGCUAGAGUCCGGAAGAGGAGAGUGGAAUUCCUGGUGUAGCGGUGAAAUGCGCAGAUAUCAGGAAGAACACCUAUGGCGAAGGCAGCACUCUGGGACGGUACUGACGCUGAGACGCGAAAGCGUGGGGAGCGAACAGG
rnacentral:rRNA from 1 species